ensembl:lncRNA
UUUGUAUUUUUUUUUAAAAAAUCUCUAUUUUUUUACUAAAUUAUUCAUAACUAAUGGUAUAUCAUGUCGAUUACAAUAUUUUUGUGGUUUUAUAAAAAUAAGAGGAGUAACAACAUAAUAUAUAAAAUCAGGAUAAGUUGAUAAUAAAUAUACAUAAGUUAAAACCACUCUUGUUUUUUGAGAUAAACAUAAUUGUUCUUUAUUAAAUUUUAUAUCUUUACAUAUAUUAAUUAAUUUCUCAUUUUCUAUUGUUUGUGUAUUGUAUGAUAAUUCCAAAGGAUCGUUAAAAAAAUUAUAAUCAUUCAUUUGUUUAUAUAAAUUUUCAUUUUUUUUUUUAUAUUAUUCAUAAAUUUGUUUCUUAAAGUUAAAUAUUCAUAAAUAAUAAAUUCACUUUUGGGUUUAUUAAUAUCAUAUACAUCACAUAAACAACUAUUAUUUUUUUUCGAAAAAUAUGUUAUUAAUUCUUUAUUAUUUUUUAAUCUAUUUUCUUUAUUAUUAUAUAUUAUUUUAUUAUCAUCUAUAGAACUAUCAUCGGUCUCAUAGUUGUUAUUAUUUAUUUUAUUGUUACUUAAUGAAAGUUUUUUUCUAAUAAAAUUUUGGUAUGUAAUUUUUUUAAAAAAAGAUCCAAAAAUAUUUGAUGUGGAUUUGUGUUCUUCAUAAAAAUUAUAUUUAUUAAAAAGUAAAAUACAUUCUGCUUCGUAUUGUGAAAAUGCAAACAAUUUAUUAUUCCAAUAAGUAUAAUACCUAGUUAUAUUAUAAUUAUAAUUAUGAACAAACAUAUUAUUAAAUAUACGAUAUAUAUAUAUUCUAUUCGUAUCUUUAUGUAAUUCACCUACUAUAAAAAAAACUGAAGAAGUAUAAGAUACAGUGAAAAUGCCAAUCGUAUAUUUAUUUUUUGUUCUUAUAGUUAUAUUUAAGUCUCCAAAGUAAUAAUUAAAUUUUUUUAAAAAAUUAUCAGUAAAACUCUGUAUGUUAUAUUCACGCAUAUAUGAGCAGUGAUAGUAAUUACUCUUAUCUAAAUAUGUUUUAUAAGUUGGUAUUAGUUUUGUGUUUUCAGAAGAAUCUGUACUGUCGUUGUUGUUAUCGUUGUUGUUGUUAUCGUUGUUGUUGUUGUUGUUGUUGUUGUUGUUGUUGUUGUUGUUGUUGUUGUUGUUGUUGUUGUUGUUGUUGUUGUUGUUGUUGUCGUUGUUGUUGUCGUUGUUGUUGUUGUUGUUGUUGUUGUUGUCGUUGUUGUUGUCGUUGUUGUUGUUGCCAUUGUUGCUGUCGUCAUUGUUGCUGUCGUCAUUGGUGCUUUUGUGUUUACUAAACCCGCAUUUUGAAUGGCCUACAUCAGGAAUGUCCCUAGCACUAUUUGUUUUUUUCUCAUUUAUACAGGUACUUGUUUCAUUACCAGAUACUUGAGCCCUAACAUUUAUUUCAUUAAUGGCUCUUUCAUUAUUAUCACUACAUACAUAUUCACUAUUUGUUUUUAUUUUUUUAUCACCUUAUCCUCUUUUAUAUUUGAAAGAGUAUCGUUUUGUUUUUCAAAUUUUAAUGAAUAGUUUUUUUUUUAUUAUUAUUAUUAUUGUUGUUUUUUUCGGAACAAUUAUUGAUUAUGUCCGUUACAUAAGAAGGAGCAUGUAUUGGCGUUAAUGCUUUGUCCCAUUCAUUAAUUAAUUUAUUAUCAGUUGUAUUAUUAUGAAGUUCGCAUGACUCCAUUUUCAACAGUAUUGUUGUUAUAACUUUUGUACUGUAUUUUGCUGUGAUGUACUAUAUCACACUAUAAGAUAUAGCUUUGUUAUGAUUGUUGUUAAUUUUUUGUUUUUUUUGUUU